GACGGCAAAUCAAGAAUAAAGACAAAAACAGGGGAUUCGAAAAACAAGAAUUUUUGAAGGGAUUUUUCAGUAGAAAACUCAGUAAAAUCCAAGAUAAAAACCUCUAAAAGAUUGACAGAAUAAAAUAGAAGAGAUUUUACCUAAUUUGGAUUUGGUUUGACUCAAUUUUCGACGGCCACAAGAAGAUUAAUCCGUCGGCAAUAUAAGACGAAAGAAGGGAAGAACUCAGUGAUUAAUCGGUGAUUUUUGUGAGAAAUAACUGUUGAGAUUGAGGUCUUUAAAUAGACCUUAACUAGGGAGAGUUUCAAUUCGAUUUCAAUCAGAUUUCCUAGAUGAUUUUUGGAUUUGAUUGGGAGAAGAAUUCCAUGAAUUCCUUCAGUUCUAAACUCUCUGCCCGCAGUCUAGCACGUGCAGGGCACGUGCUGGCUCCAAAAUUUCUCUUUUUUUUUUUUUGAAUGGGCUUGGGUCUGCUGGAUUGGGCUUGGUUUUGGGCUAUGACAUUCUUCACCCCUAAAAAGAAAUUUCGUCCUCAAAAUUUUUCAUACCUAUCACCAUUGUAUUGGAAGCCUGUGGAUUCUGUUGAGUAAGCGCAUAAACUCUUCCUUGGGUUUUAGAAAUCUGUCCACCACCCUUAUGUUAUCCUUCAUGAGUUCUUUGGCCAACUUGAUUUUCAGUAUUUAGCGGGCAGCUAGCA
rnacentral:lncRNA from 1 species